ensembl:misc_RNA Y_RNA Y RNA
GGCUGGUCCAAAGGUAGUGAGUUAUCUCAGUUAAUGGUUCAGUCAGUUACAGAGUGAACUCCUGCUCUGUACUUUCCCUCCUUCUCACUACUGCACUUGAUUAGAGAC